UACGUAGGGGGCAAGCGUUGUCCGGAUUCAUUGGGCGUAAAGAGCGUGUAGGCGGCCAGGUAGGUCGGUUGUGAAAACUGGAGGCUCAACCUUCAGAGGUCGACCGAAACCAUCUGGCUAGAGUCCGGGAGAGGAGAGUGGAAUUCCUGGUGUAGCGGUGAAAUGCGUAGAGAUCGGGAGGAACAUCAGUUGCGAAGGCGGCUCUCUGGACCAGCACUGACACUGAGGCACGAAAGCGUGGGGAGCAAACAGG
rnacentral:rRNA from 1 species